rnacentral:rRNA from 1 species
CAGUCGCCGCGGGAAAACGAGGGGUGCAAGCGUUAUUCGGAUUGAUUGGGUGUAAAGGGUGUGCAGACGGCUUAUUAAGUCACUUGUUAAAUUCUUCGGCCUAACUGAAGGUCUGCAAGUGAUACUGAUGAGCUAGAGGGUGGAAGAGAGAAGUGGAAUUCUCGGAGUAGCGGUAAAAUGCGUAGAUCUCGAGAGGAACACCAAUGGCGAAAGCAGCUUCUUGGUCCAUUCCUGACGUUCAUACACGAAAGCGUGGGGAGCAAACAGGAUUAGAUACCCCGGUAGUCCCUGUCUCUUAUAC